CUAGCAUAUCAUUAAGCGGAGGAAAAGAAACCAACAGGGAUUGCCUCAGUAACGGCGAGUGAAGCGGCAACAGCUCAAAUUUGAAAUCCGGCCCUCGGGCCCGAGUUGUAAUUUGCAGAGGAUGCUUUUGGCGCGGUGCCUUCCGAGUCCCCUGGAACGGGGCGCCGGAGAGGGUGAGAGCCCCGUACGGUCGGACGCCUAGCCUGUGUAAAGCUCCUUCGACGAGUCGAGUAGUUUGGGAAUGCUGCUCAAAAUGGGAGGUAAAUUUCUUCUAAAGCUAAAUACCGGCCAGAGACCGAUAGCGCACAAGUAGAGUGAUCGAAAGAUGAAAAGCACUUUGAAAAGAGGGUUAAAUAGCACGUGAAAUUGUUGAAAGGGAAGCGCCUGUGACCAGACUUGCGCCGUGCCGAUCAUCCAGCGUUCUCGCUGGUGCACUGGGCGCGGCGCGGGCCAGCAUCGGUCUCGGCGGGGGGAGAAAGGCCCCGGGAACGUAGCUCCUCCGGGAGUGUUAUAGCCCGGGGCGCAAUGCCCUCGCCGGGACCGAGGUUCGCGCGUCCGCAAGGAUGCUGGCAGAAUGGUUACCAGCGACCCGUCUUGAAACACGGACCAAGGAGUCAAGGUUUUGCGCGAGUGUUUGGGUGCCAAACCCGCACGCGUAAUGAAGGUGAACGUAGGUGAGAGCUUCGGCGCAUCACCGACCGAUCCUGAUGUCUUCGGAUGGAUUUGAGUAGGAGCGUAAUGCCUUGGACCCGAAAGAUGGUGAACUAUGCUUGGAUAGGGUGAAGCCAGAGGAAACUCUGGUGGAGGCUCGCAGCGGUUCUGACGUGCAAAUCGAUCGUCAAAUCUGAGCAUGGGGCGAAAG
rnacentral:rRNA from 1 species